rnacentral:lncRNA from 1 species
GGAAAAAAAAGAAAAGAAAGAAGGAAAAAAAAAAAAAGAAAAAGAAAAGUUUCGCCUGGCGAGCGUCCGAGCGCGGAGCCUGAGCGUCGUCGCCGCCGCUGCGGGAGCAAGUUACGCGCGUACGAUCUGGGAGUGUAGCACAGAACUGGCAUGAGAUAUAUGAUUUUGUAAAUCAACUGACAGAAAGAUUUGUGAGGUGUGUUUUGCUCAUUGUAACUUCUAUAACGGGAUAUGUUGACAAAAGCUACCCUUCUGUAAGGUUAUUAGAUGUCCACGUUUCACAAGCAUGUUAAGUUUUGGCUCCUCGUGCCCAAAUAGUUAGAAAAUACUGGACACUUUAUCCUCAUUUUUGGAACUGAGUAAAAAGGUGAUAACAUGCAUCUUUAAAUAUUGCUCUCAGAUUUGACUUGAUUUUUUUAAGCAUUGUUUUUCCAUAAGCCACGUGGCUUAUUUCUGAUACAGUAUUCCCUAUGCAUUACUUUUAGAGGUCUGGAUAAGAAGACAAUAUGAAUACAUAUAUAGAUAUGUGAAUAGAUGAUGCAGGUCAAAAGCAAGGGAAGAUCUUUCAAGUGCAAACAGGCGUGCAUAAAGUUUGUGCCAUGUUAGCAAUAUAUGUUAUAUGAUAAUAUAUGUAUAAUAUAUGAUCACGUGUAUGUGAUCAACUUGAUGUGAACCUGAUCAGUACCAUUGUCUGGCAAGUAUUGCUGUUGCAGAUAUGGCUGCAGUAAAUACUGGCUAGCUGUCCUCUCUACAUAGAGCAUAAAACAGAGCCCCCAGACACACAGACAUGGAUGUUGCCAUUUUUUUCUAAAGAAAUUGAAAUGCAAUGAGCAAUUAUAAGGCUUGUAUAAUUAAAUACUGCUUACAUUCAUCUUGUAAAAAAGAAAAAAAAACAGAUCUUGAGUAAAACAACUGAGUGACAAAAGCUUUUGAAAGUUCUCUUGUAAGCUUUAGAAGAAAAAAAAAGAGCCUGAGAGCAAAGUGCUUCCUCUUUUUAGCGAGUAGUGAGAAAUAUCUUUGUCCCCACUGAAAUGAUGAUGCUCGUCCAGCGUAAAUUCUUCAGGUCAUCAUCUUUUGCAGCCAAAUGACACGCCCUUUUGCAACAGUUGGGUUGUGGAGUGGUCUGGCCGUAUUACUUGAAAUAAAGCUAUUUAGUUGUAUUUAUACA